GGCUCAGGAUGAACGCUAGCGGCAGGCCUAAUACAUGCAAGUCGGACGGGAUUGAGAAGCUUGCUUUUCAUGAGAGUGGCGCACGGGUGCGUAACACGUAUGUAACCUACCUUGUUCAGGGGGAUAGCCUCUCGAAAGAGAGAUUAAGACCGCAUAACAUCACCGGGCAGCAUUGCUUGGUGAUCAAAUAUUUAUAGGAACAAGAUGGGCAUGCGGGACAUUAGCUAGUUGGCGGGGUAACGGCCCACCAAGGCGACGAUGUCUAGGGGAUCUGAGAGGAUGACCCCCCACACUGGUACUGAGACACGGACCAGACUCCUACGGGAGGCAGCAGUAAGGAAUAUUGGUCAAUGGGCGAAAGCCUGAACCAGCCAUGCCGCGUGCAGGAAGACGGCCCUACGGGUUGUAAACUGCUUUUGCAGGGGAAUAAACCCCGGUACGUGUACCGGGCUGAAUGUACUCUGAGAAUAAGGAUCGGCUAACUCCGUGCCAGCAGCCGCGGUAAUACGGAGGAUCCAAGCGUUAUCCGGAUUUAUUGGGUUUAAAGGGUGCGUAGGCGGCCUAUUAAGUCAGGGGUGAAAGACGGUAGCUUAACUAUCGCAGUGCCUUUGAUACUGAUGGGCUUGAAUACACUAGAGGUAGGCGGAAUGUGACAAGUAGCGGUGAAAUGCAUAGAUAUGUCACAGAACACCAAUUGCGAAGGCAGCUUACUAUGGUGUGAUUGACGCUGAGGCACGAAAGCGUGGGGAUCAAACAGGAUUAGAUACCCUGGUAGUCCACGCCCUAAACGAUGAACACUCGAUGUUAGCGAUAUACAGUUAGCGUCUAAGCGAAAGCGUUAAGUGUUCCACCUGGGGAGUACGCCCGCAAGGGUGAAACUCAAAG
rnacentral:rRNA from 1 species